rnacentral:lncRNA from 1 species
AUGCCGAAUCACGAUUUUUGGAGCCGCGCUUUUUUUUUAAGCUGGGUGGAGCUUGAGCUUGAGAUUCCUUUGUGAUGGACAUGAGAGGAGAAGAACAAUACUAUAUAUAUAUUUUUUGAUUAGGAAGAACUAUAUUUGAGUGAUGUUUGUGUGUUUCGGUUUAAUGAAUGAAAUUGAGGUUGUUGUGUAGAAGGGUUUAUGUAGACACUAGAGAUUGAGUGUGUAUGUGUUUGUGAAAGUGUGUGUAAAACUGGAUCUAGCUGGCGAUUAUUGUGGUUCCCACUGGAUUCUACUUUGAGAGCGACGUUUAAUAAGCAUAUAUUAUCCGGAUCCAUACAUGGGUAUAUAAUAUUUGAUGUAUUUUUUGUCCUAAAAAAUAAACACAUUUUUGUAAAUUAAUUUUUUUAAUUUUUAGAAGUCUUUUU